GAUGAACGCUGGCGGCGUGCCUAAUACAUGCAAGUCGAGCGAACAGACGAGGAGCUUGCUCCUCUGACGUUAGCGGCGGACGGGUGAGUAACACGUGGAUAACCUACCUAUAAGACUGGGAUAACUUCGGGAAACCGGAGCUAAUACCGGAUAAUAUAUUGACCCGCAUGGUUCAAUAGUGAAAGACGGUUUUGCUGUCACUUAUAGAUGGAUCCGCGCCGCAUUAGCUAGUUGGUAAGGUAACGGCUUACUAAGGCAACGAUGCGUAGCCGACCUGAGAGGGUGAUCGGCCACACUGGAACUGAGACACGGUCCAGACUCCUACGGGAGGCAGCAGUAGGGAAUCUUCCGCAAUGGGCGAAAGCCUGACGGAGCAACGCCGCGUGAGUGAUGAAGGUCUUCGGAUCGUAAAACUCUGUUAUUAGGGAAGAACAAAUGUGUAAGUAACUAUGCACGUCUUGACGGUACCUAAUCAGAAAGCCACGGCUAACUACGUG
rnacentral:rRNA from 1 species